UACGUAGGGUGCGAGCGUUAAUCGGAAUUACUGGGCGUAAAGCGUGCGCAGGCGGCUUUGCAAGACAGAUGUGAAAUCCCCGGGCUCAACCUGGGAACUGCAUUUGUGACUGCAAGGCUAGAGUACGGCAGAGGGGGAUGGAAUUCCAAGUGUAGCAGUGAAAUGCGUAGAUAUGCGGAGGAACACCAAUGGCGAAGGCAAUCCCCUGGGCCUGUACUGACGCUCAUGCACGAAAGCGUGGGGAGCAAACAGG
rnacentral:rRNA from 1 species